rnacentral:lncRNA from 12 species
AUUUAUGCUGCUGCCCGGAGCCUGGGGAAUGCUCAACAGGUCUCUGUCCCUCUCGGCCCGGGGUUUGCCUGGAGGGGCUCUAGGGAAGUAUCCCUGCCCAUUGGGGGUCUCCAUCCUUCUCACCCUACAAGAGUGACGGGGGUCUCCGUCCUCCUGCCACGGGGGGUGGGGGGGGGGGGGGGGGGGGGUCUCCGUCCUCCUGCCACGGGGGGUGGGGGGUCUCUGUCCAUCUCCUUUUUUGGGGUCUCAUCUUUCCAUUUGGGGGCACCGGGUGGUCUCCAUCCUCCUCACCUUACUGAGGGGGACCACGAUUGUCUCUGUCUUCCACUACGGAGGAGCUGGGGCUUCAUCAUCAUCACCUUGCUCGCGAUAGGGAUCCUUUUCUUCUCCUUCCUCCAGCUACGGAGGGGUCAGGGUUUACUCCAAGCCUCCACCCCUAGUGGGUGGCGACCGGGCCAUCCCGUCCUCAGCCCCGUCAUCGGGGGGGUCCGGGCUCUUCUCCGUCCCCCAACUAAGGAGGUAGCGGGUCUACUCCUAACCUCCACCCCUAGUGGGUGGCGGCCGGGCUGCCUCGGUCCUCCUCCGGGAUGGAGGGGCCCGAGGGGGGGGGGGGGGGGGGGGGGGGGGGGGGGGGGGGGGGGGGGGGGGGGGGGGGGGGGGGGGGGGGGGGGGGGGGGGGGGGGGGGGGGGGGGGGGGGGGGGGGGGGGGGGGGGGGGGGGGGGGGGGGGGGGCUCCGGGAUGGAGGGGCCCGACCGGGAUGGAGGGGCCCGAUGGGCUCGGUCCUCCUCCGGGAUGGAGGGGCCCGAUGGGCUCGGUCCUCGACCUGUGUGGGGGUGCAGAAUCACGUCAUCCCCGUCCUCCUCCCCUUACUGGGAGGGGCCGGGUGGUCUCCGUUCGUGCUUACCUCAGUGUGGGUGGGGUGGUCUCUGUGGAGCGGAGUCAGGGCUGGGGUCUCCGCGCCCUUCGUUGCCGCUCUUCCCCUACUGGAAGGGCCGGAGCGUUCUGUAGGGAUGAAGGUCAGGUCAUCUUCAUCAUGCUCCCCUUACUGGGAGGGGGCCGGGCCGUCUCCGCUCGUGGUUCGUGCUUACCUCGGUGUGGCGGGGGUGCUCUCCGUGGAGCGGAGCAGUCUCUGGUGGGGUCUCCGCGCCCUUCCUUCCCGUUCCGCUGCUAUGGGGGGGCCGGGCCAUCUCCGUCCCCCACCUAAUACGGGGAGGAGCUGGGUUGUCCCUGCACUUACCUUGGUGUGGGCUGGGGGGGCUCCGUGGAGCGGAGUCAUCGGUGGGGUCUCCGCGCCCUUGGCUGCGGGGCACACGGCGCGGAGCGGAGCGGUGCGGAUCUCCUCCCGGCGCGCUCCCCUGGCUCCUCUCCCGGGAUCUCCUGCUCCCGCUGCCGCCCCUGCUCCCGCUGCUGCUGCUCCCGAUCGCCGACUGAGCCACAGGCCCCACCGGAGCUCCUUAUAUACCCAGGACUAGCCCCGCCCCUUUUAGGCACAGCCAAUAGGAGCCCAGAAACAAGCGUGGGGGCGGGACAACCAACGUUCCACAUUGUGAGGACACAGACAGGAGGCGUGGCCACAGCGGGACCGAGCGAUCUGAUUGGUCGGAAGGCGGAGGGCUCCAAGAGGGGCGUGGCUCGGGCCCGGGCGGAGGGGCAGGUGUGAGGGCG